rnacentral:rRNA from 1 species
UACGUAGGGAGCAAGCGUUGUCCGGAUUUAUUGGGCGUAAAGAGCUCGUAGGCGGUUCGGUAAGUCGGGUGUGAAAACUCCAGGCUCAACCUGGAGAUGCCACUCGAUACUGCUGUGACUUGAAUCUGGUAGGGGAGCACGAAUUCCUGGUGUAGCGGUGAAAUGCACAGAUAUCAGGAGGAACACCGGUGGCGAAGGCGGUGCUCUGGGCCAGUAUUGACGCUGAGGAGCGAAAGCGUGGGGAGCGAACAGG